rnacentral:SRP_RNA from 1 species
CCUGGACAUGGUGACACAUACUUGUAAUCCCUUUUAUUGGACUGGGGAGGCUAAGGCCAGUGAAUUGCUUGAGUGUGGGAGUUCUGUGCUACAGUAGGGCUAAAGUCAAUUGGGUAUCUAUACUGUUUUGCACUAACAUGAUGAGCUUCUAGGAAUGGAGGUCCACCAUGCUACCUAAGUAGAGGCAAAUAGGCCCAGGUUGGAAAUGGAGGUCAAAGUUUCCAUGCAGAUGAGCAGUGAGGAUGUGCCUGUAAGUGGCUAGUGUACUUCAAGCCUGGGCAAAAUAGUAAGACUCAUUCUUUA